UACGUAGGGAGCAAGCGUUGUCCGGAUUUAUUGGGCGUAAAGCGCGCGUAGGCGGUUUCGUAAGUCGGGUGUGAAAACUCCAAGCUCAACUUGGAGCCUGCAUCCGAAACUGCGAUGACUCGAGUCAGGUAGGGGAACACGGAAUUCCAGGUGUAGCGGUGAAAUGCUUAGAUACCUGGAGGAACACCAGUGGCGAAGGCGGUGUUCUGGGCCUGUACUGACGCUGAUGCGCGAAAGCGUGGGGAGCGAACAGG
rnacentral:rRNA from 1 species